rnacentral:rRNA from 1 species
GUCAGAUGUGAAAGCCCGGGGCUCAACCUCGGAAUUGCAUUUGAAACUGGCAAACUAGAGUACUGUAGAGGGGGUAGAAUUUCAGGUGUAGCGGUGAAAUGCGUAGAGAUCUGAAGGAAUACCGGUGGCGAAGGCGGCCCCCUGGACAGAUACUGACACUCAGAUCGCGAAAGCGUGGGGAGCAAACCAGGAUUAGAUACCCUCGGUAG